AACUGUCACCACUUGCGCUGAAUAUCGUUCACAUAAAUUUGUUUAUUUUCGUUUAAAUUCGUUCGUUUUUCCGUUUGUGAACGAUAUUGUCGCGUUAGAUAGGUUCGAUAAUUUUUAUGUCAUGUUUGUGGUAUAAUUGUUAGGGAUAGAUAGGCCGGUUUUUUCCUCUAGCUGCGAAAAAGUGGUGCUGAAUCCUGUCUCGGCGGGUUUAUUGUGGUCGGCAGCCAUCGCGGGAUGAUCAGUUUAGCCUCGACCACGUUUUGUCUGGCAAAAAAGCGAAGGUUGUGCCGCUUUGUGUUGUGUAAGUCCAACGAAGGUUGUCCCGUUGGCCCGUGGAUCGUGUGCUAUUGUUGUGUGUUGCUCGCCGGAUUGGUGAGCAGUGUUUACUACCCCGGCUAAUCAAAAAGGAGCGGAAAACACCACCCGCCGAAGACCAUCGUUGCAGCUGCUGGUGGAUGCCGCUAUCUCGGGAGCAGCUUGGAAGAAGCACCAGACGUCUCCAUCAGUAGAAUAGGAGAAGCCACUUACGACAGCUGGAGGAAAUAAACCCGAUAAGUUUUUAUUUUAUUUA